UCAUUACGUCCCUGCCCUUUGUACACACCGCCCGUCGCUGCCCGGGACUGAGCCAUUUCGAGAAAUUUGGGGACCGUUGAUUUAAUUUUUCUAAAUUACUUUGAUGGAAACCAAUUUAAUCGCAGUGGCUUGAACCGGGCAAAAGUCGUAACAAGGUAGCUGUAGGUGAACCUGCUGCUGGAUCAUUAC
rnacentral:rRNA from 1 species